UCCACCAAACACCGGAUCCCAUCUGAUGGAGUUGGGGCGGAUAUCAGGUGAUUUCUGUUAAAUUCAAUCCCGUGGAUUCGUCGACAAUGCCGUUAUGUUUGUGGGAUCCGAUCCGGUAUUUCCUUAAUCAGAAUAGUGGAUGACGACAUAAAAUCAGAUCUGGAUCCUCUAUAUUAUCAUGUCUUAACCUAAUGAGUUUACCUUCUUUUCCACCCUCUUUCUUUCGCUCUGCUGCGACGCUAGCUAGCCAUCACACCUCCUACUCAACCGCCGAAUCAGUUCUUCAGCCGACCGUCACAAACCUAAUUGAUCGAAUUCAAGCUCGAAUUUUAACAAGAGAUGUAGUUGUACUAGGAUCCCUCCUUGCCAUCGACGACCUGAGUCUCACAGCGUUGUCGAAGUCCUCAACAAAUUUGCAAAUCCGUUGACUGAAGGCAGAUCUACAUCUACAACGUCGCCUGGUUGGUCUCCGUCAGCUUAUUUCAUUGAAGGUAUUGAUUCUGUUCUACUAAGUAUACACGAACAGGAAAUUUGAAGAAUAGGACUGUGUAUUGGUUUUGGUUUUGUGUUAUGUUUUGAUUUUCUAUUAGGGAUAUGGGGUUUGGUUUUUAUUUAGAGAUCAGGGAAUCAGGGAUCCUAAUUAUUAUGUUGAUGCCGACUUUUACAUUGAUCCCAAUUAUUAUGAACACUGCAUCAAGAAAUUUUCGGAUGUAUACUCAUUUGGUAUGAUGAUAUUUUUUUCAUCGAAAGAUCGAGGCAAGAUUGAUAGCAUCUUCGAAAGGAUUGAGCAAGCAUUGGAUAUGGUUUUGUUUAGGGAGGAUAACUCUCUGAACGUUGGCAAAACCACAUUGCUCAUGUCGGUUAUCUAACUUCAUGGCCUGAAAGUUCAUUAAGAAUAGAUGGAUUUUUCUGAUUGAGCUUAAGUUGAUUUCUGACUUCCACUAUAAAAACAUAAUCCCUUUCAUUGGUUAUUGCAAGGAAGGUGAUGAUAUAAUUAUAGUCUACGAGUAUGCUAUCAAUGGAAGCCUUGACCAUUGUCUUAAGCGUUGGAAAAACCGCACAGUUGCUAUCAAUUGCCAAGCGCCUUGUUCUAAAAGGUCAUCAAGGAUAAAAUGAACUUCCUAACCGAGUUUAAGUUGAUUUCCAACUUCAAUCAUGAAAACAUCAUCUCUUUCAUUGGUUAUCCUUAUGAAGGUAAUGAGAUGAUUAUGGUAAUGAUCAUGGUUCACAUGUAUUCCAUCUAUGGAAGCAUUGAUCAUUUUCUUGAACGUUGGAAAAACCUUAUACUUGUUAUCGUUCAUCCAACUCCUUGAUCUCACAAUGGAAGAACAAAGUCUUUAUUGUGCUUAAGUUGAUUUCUAGUUUCCACCAUGAAAACAUUAUCCUUUUCAUUGGUUGCUAUGGUGGAAACAAUGAGAUGAUUAUAGUUUACAAGUAUGCUAGCAACUGUAGCUUUAAUUAUAAUUCCACACGCAAGAGGUGUUGUCUAAAUGAGCAUGACACCUCAAAUUUUGCUUAGGGUCAGCAAGAGGACUCAGAUACCUUUACUCGGGUCUAAGGGGCACAACAGAGUAAUACACAGAGACAUAAAGAGCGCAAACAUAUUGUUAGAUGAAAAUACACAGUGACAUAAAGAGCGCAAACAUAUUGUUAGAUGAAAAUCUAGAAGAAAACAGAUGUAUACUCAUUUGGUAUGAUAUUGGAUUAACAAGCAAAAGUCUAGCCAACAAUGGUUAAGGAAAGAAGGAGAGAAAUCCUAGUUCCCUAAACGUUGUUGAUGCUUAUGUUGAUCUAAUGCAAAACCUUAUACCUGCAAUGAAGGAUGGGAUUGUUUGCAUUGCCAUUGAUACCAUUUGCAGGGUAAGUUUCGGAGCUUUGAAAUAUUUAACAGGUUUAAAAAAUCUUUGAUAUCAACUUAUUUUGAAGAGGAGGCUUGCUUGAUCAUUGAAUUCUUACAAUCUCUCUUGUCCGUUUUUGCAAGAUUUGCUGUGGUUUCAUGGAAUAUCUAUAUGAUGCCCUCCAAAUGUUUGGUGAAAUGCCUCAGUGACAUUUUCAUUACUUUCUUGAAGUAAACCAAAUCAUUCCUCUAGGUUGCUUUUGGUCAUAUCCGGCCCUCCUUUAAAUGAUGAGACACGGUGGAGAAUAUUUGGUUGUGUGAUAGUUUUAUUGUAGUAAUAUUUUUUAUUUUAGUUAUUUUGUACCAAAAUGACUUUCUUAUUUGUGUGUUGUGUUAAAAGCUGUUGGAUCAAUUGUAAGCUCAUUUAUAUAAAGUGAUGUACAACUUCGAAGCGUGAUGUACAAGUUAUUGUGAGUUACAUAUUGUAAGUACAAGGUGUAAAGAAAUAUAAGUUAAUUGUUGUCAUUAUGGGUAGAAAAUAGUGUACAUUGUUUAUAUUGAUAAAGAAAGUAAAGUAUGUUGCUAUUAUCUUUAA